ACAGUUGAGUGAAUCCAUGAGCUCAGCAGUGCGUUGAUAUACGGUGAGGCUCUGCCUAGCUGACUGUGCCUUUUCGGGACAAUCGCAGGAUUGUUACACGGCCUCUUCCAGAACAGAUUCCCAGACCAUAAAUGUCGCACACAGUGGCCCAGCGGAGCGUUUUCACACUCAAACAGAAGUUACAAUCCUUACGAGUCUGAGUCGCGCAAAGAUGCCAGGAGCGAAAGGUAACAAGCCGGACAAAAAAUCUGCCACAAAGCAACAGCAGAGCAACAAAGAUCAAACAAAAAAGAGCGAUCAAAAGGGAGAUGAUAACAAAAAGCAAGGAGGACAGCCGAAGGGAGAGAAGCAGUAACUUCCAGGCUUUCAUCAAAAUUGCUUUGGAAACAUUGCUUGGAAAAUGUCGACGUAAAUCUGUCAGUCCAUGGUACAGAUGAACCCACUUCUUCCCACUUAUCUCUCCAAGUCUUACUUUUUUUCUAUCUACUCUCUUUAUCUCUGAAAAUAAAUUUUAUGCAUACAUGCUAGGAAAA